GUUCUUUGAAACCAGCCCUAAUACACCUAUAUUAACGUUGCUGGAAUUCCAGCUAUGGCGAUAAACGUGCUGUGAAAUAAGCAGAGCGGACCCGGGGGCGGUACCCGGCGCCUCCACCAUUUUAGCCCGCACUACCGGCUACAAUAGCUGGCAAGUUUGUAUUUGGGCUGAAAGAUUGGGGGCGAAAUAGGAUCGACGCAUGUGGUAAAGGCAGUAUUUUCGCUCGGUAUGGUACCCACCGUUAUCGGGCCAUGUAGUAGUUGCAAAUGACAACACUGCUCCGGUAGCAAUCGCAGCUUAGUGCAGCGAGAGUAACCGAUCUUAAGUCCAGACCGAUUGAGCUCGAUCUGGCGGGGUUUGGAGCGCACCUGGCAACAGAAGCGUUCCGCU
rnacentral:tmRNA from 1 species